rnacentral:rRNA from 1 species
ACGAGUUUGAUCCUGGCGUCAGGAUGAACGCUAGCGGCAGGCCUAAUACAUGCAAGUCGAACGGUAAGGCCCUUUCGGGGGUACACGAGUGGCGGACGGGUGCGUAACGCGUAUGCAACAUACCUUCAAGCGGGGGAUAUGCCAGGGAAACUUGGUGCAACACCCCAUAGCAUUUCGGGACCGCAUGGUCUUGGGAUUAAAUAUUUAUAGCUUGGAGAUUGGCAUGCGUGACAUUAGCUAGUUGGCGGGGUAACGGCCCACCAAGGCGACGAUGUCUAGCUGGUCUGAGAGGAUGAUCAGCCACACUGGGACUGAGACACGGCCCAGACUCCUACGGGAGGCAGCAGUAGGGAAUAUUGGACAAUGGGGGGAACCCUGAUCCAGCCAUGCCGCGUGAGGGAAGAAGGUCCUCUGGAUUGUAAACCUCUUUUGGCGGGGGACAAACCUGCACUAUACGUGCAGCUGAGGGUACCCGCAGAAUAAGCACCGGCUAACUCCGUG